GUCCACGCCGUAAACGAUGUCAACUAGCCGUUGGGAGCCUUGAGCUCUUAGUGGCGCAGCUAACGCAUUAAGUUGACCGCCUGGGGAGUACGGCCGCAAAGGUUAAAACUCAAAUGAAUUGACGGGGGCCCGCACAAGCGGUGGAGCAUGUGGUUUAAUUCGAAGCAACGCGAAGAACCUUACCAGGCAUUGACAUCCAAUGAACUUUCCAGAGAUGGAUUGGUGCCUUCGGGAACAUUGAGACAGGUGCUGCAUGGCUGUCGU
rnacentral:rRNA from 1 species